GGACGAUAUUGAUGAGGUCACAUAGAAUUCUACAGAUAUUAAUUUCAUAUGUCAAAACUAAAUGUUGAUUAGCUUUGUAUGUGAAACAGUUUGUGCAUAUACAUCCAUCCGUUUUCUGUAUGGUUUUUCUUUAUGGUGUAUGGUUGUGGGGGAGCGGGAGCCAAUCCUGGUUGACUAUUAGCGAGAGAGUGCACACCCUGGACUGGCUGGCAGCCAAUCACAGCAGUUGGGCAUUGAAUCGAUCACAACUAGACUGAUCUGUUUGACUUAGAAGACGUUUCGCCACUCAUCCGAGCAGGCUUUCUCGAGGAAAGAAAAGUGUUGACUUCGCUGAGCAAGGAUGAAAACAUCACAAUCUUGCCAGCAGAUAAGGUUGGAGGAUUAGUGAGAUGCAAGUGGGAUGCUGGGCGCUUCCCUCCUUACUUCCUGCUUCUCUCCUCCAUUGGGAAAUUGGCUCGUUCUGCUUCACACUCUCACCUGUCUGUCUGCUUCGCAAUCCAUUUGAAGCUUGACUUCAUCCCACUCCCACAGUCUGACACUCCGUAUUAGUGAUUCACAACCGGGUGUGCACACUAGCGUGCCAUGAGAGCUCAUCAGGGGUGCAGCGGGAAAUUAUCCAAUUUCACUUCAUUUGUGUAUUUUCUAUCAUCACAAAUAUAUCUUUGUUCAUCUAUCACAUACAAGGCCCAGAUUUCACACUGAGUAGAUAUAUUUCUGAGUAAAGUGAAAGAAGAUGAUGCUUAUUUGAGUAUUCAUACUUUUAGUGAUUUCUUUUGGUGGGGUGGUGUGGCGUGAAUUUUUUCUCAUGUAAAAUGGCUGCCUUGCUUCAAUAAAAGUUGGAAAACACUGCUACAUAUUAUUACUUCCUAACAGUUUGUUUCCC